rnacentral:rRNA from 1 species
AGAGCGAACGCUGGCGGCAGGCUUAACACAUGCAAGUCGAGCGGGCGUAGCAAUACGUCAGCGGCAGACGGGUGAGUAACGCGUGGGAACGUACCUUUUGGUUCGGAACAACCCAGGGAAACUUGGGCUAAUACCGGAUAAGCCCUUACGGGGAAAGAUUUAUCGCCGAAAGAUCGGCCCGCGUCUGAUUAGCUAGUUGGUGGGGUAAUGGCCCACCAAGGCGACGAUCAGUAGCUGGUCUGAGAGGAUGAUCAGCCACAUUGGGACUGAGACACGGCCCAAACUCCUACGGGAGGCAGCAGUGGGGAAUAUUGGACAAUGGGCGCAAGCCUGAUCCAGCCAUGCCGCGUGAGUGAUGAAGGCCCUAGGGUUGUAAAGCUUCUUUUGUGCGGGAAGAUAAUGACGGUACCGCAAGAAUAACGCCCCGGCUAACUCGCGCCAGCAGCCGC